AACACAGUCUCUCCGAUCAUGGUAAUAAAAUGGGUUUAAGAUUAUUGAUGGUCUACGACUGAACUUGAAGAUUGUUGAUGUUAAGGGCACCGAGUCUAAUUAGUAUAUAUAAGAUGAAAAUUCAUCUCUCGUCUUAACAGAACAGAGCAAUGUUUGGAAGACUGGCCAUCUUGGCACACUCCAACUCUUGUCCAGUUAGCAGUGAACAAAUCUGUCAAUGAAAACCUAUGAAAGGGAAGGCUACCUUUUUGUUUCUGCCUACUGCUUCACCUUGGGUCUUCUUUGGGCAGAAGUUACCAAACUGUACUAAAUUAUACCGAGCUGUGGCGGUCUGGAGAUAAGAGCAGACUAAAUGAAGUGCUGGAGAACGCACAGAGCCAGGAAGAGCCUUGUGCUUCCUGUGGCCUUCCUGCCCUCAGGAACCCUUCUGCAGAGCCGUUCCCUCUGGGCCCUGAUAACCAGAGAGCAAAGAUGUCCAGAAGAAAAAGCAAAGAAAACAGAAGAGCAAAAUCAAUAGGGAGCGAAUCUGAUUUUCAGCCAGAUGCCUGCCACUGGGCACGCAAUCCCUGUCUGCCCCGUCCUCCCUUCUGAUCAGGUAAAUUAAUCUCUUGAGAAGCUGGUCUAAACAAACAAACACGUUUCGUACUGGAAAAGCAAACGUGAGAUGCAUCGCUGUCGCUGGGCGGGAAGAGGGAGGGUGCUUGGAAAGAUCUGGAGAGUUGGGAAGAUGGGCUGAAGUCCAGAGGUUUGUGGUUGAAAGUGGAUAAACGCGAGGCAUUUCUCUCAAGGGGCAGAGAAGAAGAAUAACAAGCAGAAAUAAAAUACAGGAGAGCAGGACGGAGAGCA
ensembl:lncRNA